rnacentral:rRNA from 1 species
GACGAACGCUGGCGGCGUGCUUAGCACAUGCAAGUCGAACGGAAAGGCCCUGCUUUUGUGGGGUGCUCGAGUGGCGAACGGGUGAGUAACACGUGAGUAACCUGCCCUUGACUUUGGGAUAACUUCAGGAAACUGGGGCUAAUACCGGAUAGGAGCUCCUGCUGCAUGUUGGGGGUUGGAAAGUUUCGGCGGUUGGGGAUGGACUCGCGGCUUAUCAGCUUGUUGGUGGGGUAGUGGCUUACCAAGGCUUUGACGGGUAGCCGGCCUGAGAGGGUGACCGGCCACAUUGGGACUGAGAUACGGCCCAGACUCCUACGGGAGGCAGCAGUGGGGAAUAUUGCACAAUGGGCGGAAGCCUGAUGCAGCAACGCCGCGUGCGGGAUGACGGCCUUCGGGUUGUAAACCGCUUUCGCCUGUGACGAAGCGUGAGUGACGGUAAUGGGUAAAGAAGCACCGGCUAACUACGUG